CACACACCUAAGACGGCAUUGAGAUUUAAUCACUUACUUACCUUUCUAUAGUCAUUAUCCGUCAAAUUAUUCAUCACCUAUAGACCUGAUGCCAAGAACCCACUUCCAGGUGGAGCAAAAGUGGUCUCAUCAGUGAUCAGUCCACUAGGAUCAUCUUAUGUCAGUCAUAGCAAACAAAAAAGUGUUUGAUCAUCAAACAACAAUGUCUGUGGUUCGGAAACACAUAUUAGCUUCACAAGCCCUAGUUGUUCCAGCACAGGGUUUGGGUUAAGGUAGCUACAACCCGAAAACUGAGCCUGACAUUAUCAAACUCAUCACCAUGCCAUUGAAUCCGUUGUCACACUUCUUGACACGUCAGACGCCUACAGCCCUCACACCAGCAAAAUCCUUCCAGGCAAAGAGAAUUGAGAGACAAGGUUUAAGUUGCGACUAAAUUUGGAAGCCAGUGGAAUGCAGGACGUGUAUGGUGAUCCAACAUAUGUCCGAUCAGCUUGUGAAGUUAAUUUGAAAAGAUUUGUCAUUGAUUGUAUUGAUCUCUACAAUGCCAAUCAGAUUGACACUCGUGUCCCAAUCCAUUUUCUUUUGAUUUUCUGUUGUUUUAUUACUGCAAAAGACCUAUAAAUGUUAGCUGCCAUACUGUUUAGUUUCUAGAUACUUGGCUGUUUUUAACAGUUAUAUUUCUGUAAGGUUAUCUGAAGCAUGUGAUUCAAAUAUCAGAAGGGCUCGUGUUGUUCAUCCAA